rnacentral:lncRNA from 1 species
AGGAGGGCACCGGGUUUCCCUAUAGCCCAAAGAUUGACCUUCAAAUCCUCCCCACCAGUGAUGAGGAUCCUUGAUGCUCGCCUCCCAAACUUGGCACAAUUGACAUUCAAAGUGUGCGCGACAAACUCCUCUGGUCAUUGUCAAGGAGACAAGAUAUAUUGAAGGUUGCAUGCAACAACAAGAGAAUUAAAGUCUUAUCUCAACAUGAUAUCCAAAGAUAUAACAAAAUGUUUUCGACUACCAUGAACCCAGCAUGUUUAAAGUUUCUUUCAUAAUUCAUUUUUUCCAGAAGGAUAUAGACACACAUUUCCACAAUGAAAAAUACUGACUGAAAAUCCAGAGUACCAAUUGCUUAUUGUUGGUAAAUGUCCUCAAUUUUCACCUGAAUUGCAUAGACCACACCGUUGAUCCAAUAGAAAGUUGGUCUAAGCCAAUCAGUCGACAUGGCACGUGCCUAGAGAACAGGAACAAAAAUUAAGAGGCACAACAACAUUGACAAAACAAUAGAGGUCUAACAGAGACAAAAAGAAAUACCUGAUAAUAAAUCUUAGCCCAGAAGAGCACUAAAAGUGCAUAUGUCGUGAAGAAUGCAAGCCCGGGCAUAUCCUGAAGCACAUGUUGUAUUAUCUGAGGUACCACAUUGCUUCAAACCAUUACUAAAGACCUCCAACAAAUUCAUCAUCCGAGUAUAGUAUAAUAACCAAAUCAGUUACAAACCUCAGGCUCUACAAGUUGCACAUUUCGCCGCAGCACAAACACGACAGACCGCACUGCGAGCAGGAAUAGAGCAUUCACAUCGAUCAGUCCACCAAAUCAAACACCUAGCAGAAGCUAAGUAAUGCAAGCGACACAAAUGAUUGUCUAUCUCAAUAAUCAUGCUGUAAUUUGUAAGAUGCCUUAAUUUUUGGGUUCUAUGAUCUUCGAAUACUUUGCAUUACGAUUAAACGGACAUGCUCAAAAUUUUACCUUCACUAAGUUAUCAGCCCCACCAGAAACAAUCCAUCGGCCAUCAGGAGUAAAUUUAAGCACAUUAAUUCGUUGGGUAUGACCCUUGUAUGUGUGGAUGCAUCUCUGCUGUCGAGUAUCCCAUAUUUUCAUGUUUGUAUCUGAAGACCCAAUGGCUAAGAAUUCUCCAAAAGGAUGGAAAUCAAGAGAUGCACAACUUGAUUUGUGUCCAGUGAAAGUUCGAACAACUGCACAUUAUGCACAUUGUCAAUAGAAACUGAGAUUAUUGCAAGACAUAGUUGCAGUUCAUGUUUUCAAUGCACUGACUGUUGAGUACCAACACUGGUUAAUACCUUUCGCCUCCUCAAUAUUCCAUAUUUUUAUCGUUCCACUUGCUGCACCAGCACCUAUCGUAACUUCAGAAGAGUCAAAGCUUACUGACUCAACUGGACUUGUAAAGCCUGAAGUAGAUGUUGCCAAAAAAGAGCAAGAAUGACAUAUUGAUAUUACACAUAAACCGUCAGGAUAGGAAAUUACCAGGAGGGCACCGGGUUUCCCUAUAGCCCAAAGAUUGACCUUCAAAUCCUCCCCACCAGUGAUGAGGAUCCUUGAUGCUCGCCUCCCAAACUUGGCACAAUUGACAUUCAAAGUGUGCGCGACAAACUCCUCUGGUCAUUGUCAAGGAGACAAGAUAUAUUGAAGGUUGCAUGCAACAACAAGAGAAUUAAAGUCUUAUCUCAGCAUGAUAUCCAAAGAUAUAACAAAAUGUUUUCGACUACCAUG